UGGCGGACGGGUGAGUAACAUUUAGGAAUCUGCCUAGUAGUGGGGGAUAGCUCGGGGAAACUCGAAUUAAUACCGCAUACGACCUACGGGUGAAAGGGGGCGCAAGCUCUUGCUAUUAGAUGAGCCUAAAUCAGAUUAGCUAGUUGGUGGGGUAAAGGCCCACCAAGGCGACGAUCUGUAACUGGUCUGAGAGGAUGAUCAGUCACACCGGAACUGAGACACGGUCCGGACUCCUACGGGAGGCAGCAGUGGGGAAUAUUGGACAAUGGGGGCAACCCUGAUCCAGCCAUGCCGCGUGUGUGAAGAAGGCCUUUUGGUUGUAAAGCACUUUAAGCAGGGAGGAGAGGCUAAUGGUUAAUACCCAUUAGAUUAGACGUUACCUGCAGAAUAAGCACCGGCUAACUCUGUGCCAGCAGCCGCGGUAAUACAGAGGGUGCGAGCGUUAAUCGGAAUUACUGGGCGUAAAGCGAGUGUAGGUGGCUCAUUAAGUCACAUGUGAAAUCCCCGGGCUUAACCUGGGAACUGCAUGUGAUACUGGUGGUGCUAGAAUAUGUGAGAGGGAAGUAGAAUUCCAGGUGUAGCGGUGAAAUGCGUAGAGAUCUGGAGGAA
rnacentral:rRNA from 1 species